rnacentral:rRNA from 1 species
UUUAAUUGAAGAGUUUGAUCAUGGCUCAGAUUGAACGCUGGCGGCAGGCCUAACACAUGCAAGUCGAGCGGCAGCGGGAGGAAGCUUGCUUCCUCGCCGGCGAGCGGCGGACGGGUGAGUAAUGUCUGGGAAACUGCCCGAUGGAGGGGGAUAACUACUGGAAACGGUAGCUAAUACCGCAUAACGUCGCAAGACCAAAGUGGGGGACCUUCGGGCCUCACACCAUCGGAUGUGCCCAGAUGGGAUUAGCUAGUAGGUGGGGUAAUGGCUCACCUAGGCGACGAUCCCUAGCUGGUCUGAGAGGAUGACCAGCC